GACGAACGCUGGCGGCGUGCCUAAUACAUGCAAGUCGAACGCUGAAGGAGGAGCUUGCUCUUCUGGAUGAGUUGCGAACGGGUGAGUAACGCGUAGGUAACCUGCCUGGUAGCGGGGGAUAACUAUUGGAAACGAUAGCUAAUACCGCAUAAGAGUAGAUGUUGCAUGACAUUUGCUUAAAAGGUGCAAUUGCAUCACUACCAGAUGGACCUGCGUUGUAUUAGCUAGUUGGUGGGGUAACGGCUCACCAAGGCGACGAUACAUAGCCGACCUGAGAGGGUGAUCGGCCACACUGGGACUGAGACACGGCCCAGACUCCUACGGGAGGCAGCAGUAGGGAAUCUUCGGCAAUGGACGGAAGUCUGACCGAGCAACGCCGCGUGAGUGAAGAAGGGUUUCGGAUCGUAAAGCUCUGUUGUAAGAGAAGAACGAGUGUGAGAGUGGAAAGUUCACACUGUGACGGUAGCUUAACAGAAAGGGACGGCUAACUACGUG
rnacentral:rRNA from 1 species